CCUACUUGUGAUCUCUCUCUCUCGGUCAAAUAAAAAAAAUAAAAUCUUUAAAAAAAAAUACCUCAUUAAAGGAAGGUGAAAGGGCAAAGAAAAUUUGACGUCAAAGGGUGCUAUUUUUUUUUUUCCAUCCUAGACAGGUCCUAAGUCAGGAUUUCAUAAAUAAGCGCCAUGGCUUUAGGGCUCCUUGUUAUAUGUCGAUGGGUUGUUUCGGCUGCAUUGAGUGUAGAGUUGUAUGUUAAUGCAUGAGGAAUGUGGCAGUGGACGGGGAAUUUGUUUUUAGUUAUGGUGGGUGCUGCUAGUGACCUUACAGAGGCGUAUGGUCCAUCCGUCUAGUAAAUGGACCUGCUGUAAUCAAGAGAAAUGGGAAGAGUAGGACCCAGGAGGAGAAACAAUCAUCCAUUGUCACCUAUGGUGUGUCAAGUUUCACUGAAGCCCAUGGGAAGCUGUCAGAGUGUCUCCCCCAGCAUGAUCAUGAGACCUUCUGCUACUAUUCUGUAAUGCGUUUCCUAAGGGAGCUAUAGCAGGGCCCAUGCAGCUCUUCCAGUAAAGGCCUGUCCAUCUGUAGUAAGACAUAAGACUUAAGCAGUGUGUCCGUGUCCUUUGUUAAAAUGUUCUUUCUUAUAAUUAUGCUUUCUUAUAAUAAUUAUGUACUUUAAACUGUCAAAAUUUCCUGCUUGAAAAUUACAGCUGACAUUUUUAUUUCUAGGCAGAAUUGGGAAAAAGUUGGUUCACCCGUGUUUCAAAUAAAGUAAAAAAGAACAGUAAUUCAGUUCAUUCGGGUAUUUUAUUUCCUGAGUGAAAUAAUACAAGGGGACAGAACAUUUCCCUCUAAGGACAGCUAUGAAUGGACAAUUGAAGAAAAGCACAAGGAGGCAGAGACCAGAAGCGGAGGAGGUGAUACCUCACAUCCUGAUUUGUAUGCAGUCAAGGAAAAGGGGAAGACGUGGCUCAUCUCUCUGUCUUGGUGUCCUGUGACUUUUACUUCACUGUUAACCAACAAUGAAAUUCCUGCCUUGUUGAGAGAUGGGAGACAGCUCCACUCUGGUAGAUUCUGAAGCAAAAACACUGAGUGAGCCGCUCUGGGAGGCAGGAGUGGAUCCAAAAUAAAGGAGACAGCCCCUGUCUUCCCCAAACUCACUGUGUGAUAGACAGGAUUGUAUCAAGACUUUCCUCGGACUUCUGAGGGUCAGUGUCCACAAAGGCAUUGAAAAUGAGACAGCAUCGAUAUGGGAAAUAUCCUAAGACUGAAGGCAAGAAGAUUAAAAUACUUGCACAUACUAAUCAGAAGUAACUCAGUGUAACUAUACUAAUACCAAAGUAAACUCUAAGGGAAAAGCAUUUUUCAAACAUUAUCUAUCCCACAUACCCCAACUGGAGCCCAGUGGUUUGGCUCUGUGACUCUAGGCUCCUCUGCCUCCUCUGAUCUGCCCAGUCUGCUUUGUCCAUUCAACCCAUACUGUUAGCAGGAGGGUGUCCUGAUUCAACAUCAAACCCUAGUUUUUCUCUUUCAUCUCUCACCCACUGCAUUAGCAACUCCUUCUCCCACGCAAGCUUUCCUGAGCUCCUACCUGUGUCAGGCGUGGUCCUCGGCCAUGAGGGCAUAUCUGGGAAUAAGUCAGAUGGAACCCUGCUGUCCUGGGAAAUGACAGUGUGAUGGGGAAGACAAACAAGCAGCAACUCAAGAAAUCGUUGUUUGAUGUGAACAUGUGAUUGGUAAUAUUAAAGUAUUAAAGUACCCAGGGAGUUCUAGACUGGUAAUAUUAAAGUAUUAAAGUACCCAGGGAGUUCUAGACAUAUAUUACAAAGGGUUCUAGAUUUUAACUGUUUGCUACCAGGGCUCCAACCACCAAGCCAACCACCACUGGCUUUUCCGAAAAGAAGCCCAUAAAUAAAUCUGUCGACGGGGGCCCCAGGAGGUGUAAGAAGGCAACCCCUCUGCCUGACAUCUUAGGCUACUCAAGUCAUUCUAACUCAGAAGUCUCCUGCUCCUAGACUCUUGAGAAAUAACUUCAGUCCCCAUCUGGGACCUGUUGGGGACACAUGAUGCUGCAGAGCUGGAUCUUAAAGCCAACCCCAAAGUAGGGGCACAGCUCCCAGGUCCACAAGCCCUGGGUCACAGGGAGGAACCUGUGUUCUAGCCUGAGAUGAUAAGCUACAGAAUCAGUUUCAUCCAGGAAUUGGUUGUGAAAUACCAAGACUCAAUCCUGGAGACAGGGGACCAAGGAGGGGUGAGGGCAUCUUUGGCCAAAGGUGAGUGGAUGAUGGAACUUGGGCACAGGGUCUGUGACUGAUUUUACACUGUUGCUAAACAUGAGAUACUAGGGCUCACUGAAAACUGGCUCGUGCCUUUAGGCUGCCUUCCUUCAGAUCUACCCAGAGAAGCCUGUAAAACUUUGCCAUCGCCUUCUGGGACCUCAGGACCCUGCAUCCAGCCAAAGCCAAGGUCCCUUCCUGUCUUCCCCAGGCUAUGUUUCAGGGUGGAUACUAGCCUCUAGGGAGCCUUUUACAAAUUAGCAAACAAUUUAACAUUGUCUAGCAGAUAGACACAGUCCCAAAGAACCAUAGCUUAGUAAGGGGGCUUAAGGCUGGAGAGCAGGCCCCUGUUACUGUGUAAGCAGGGUAUACUGGGGAAUGCACAAGCUGCAGAAGUCUGUGUGUCAGCCUUGCCCAGUUUUAUGGUCUCCAAGGAUAGUUCCCAUCAUCUCUUCCUUAGAAUGCAUCCUGGGAUGCUCCAGUUAGCGCCGGACUCAAGAGGAUGAGCAGUUGCCACUGGAGAAGAAAAUGGAGGCAUCAGCUCUGACUCUACCUCCCUGCAAGGCCUUCGGCUCUAGCGGCAGCAAAGAUGAUUCUGGAUGCUGAGCAGCGAUUUAUCAGUCUUUUCUUGAAUAAGAUGAGGAUCUUAAGAGAAUUUAACCUCCCUGAAAAUACCAAGGAGUGUGAUUCCUGGAUCAUAUAGCAAGGGUAAUCCCCAAACUUGACACGGCACUCGAACUCACAACCCCCAAACCAGGCAUUGCAUGCUGUGCUGGCGGGUCAGCAGGUACGCCUAAUUCCAACACUCGUAAGUAUCUAAAGCCAAUAAGCUUCCGGUUUGCAUGAUUCAUAGUCCUGAGAAAGCUCUUCGUAGCUUCCUAAUUAGUACUUCUUCCCGCCUCUGAAAUCACUGAUGUCUAUUUAAUGACCUCGUUUUCUGUGAUCUCUUCAUUUGUGAGAAGCAA